AAAGGUUUUACAAAUUUCCUAUAAAUUUGAAAUGACAAAUUGAGAUUCGACUGCUGAUCAUUCGUCAACCCGUUUUCUGAAUUUCUAUCUAAUCAUGAAUACUUAGAAGCAUAAUUUGAUAUAGUCCUCUGCAAGUCGAUUUACUGUCAACAUUUGCUUUCGCUUUGAUUACAAAAGGCGAAAUACGCGUCCAUUCCCAGCCCUCACUCUUUCAGAACAAUAAAUCUCGGAUUAGCUAGGUUGGAUUGACAGGAUGGCGUAUGAAUUGAGCGAACAGAAAAAGAUUGGUCUUGGUCUGAUUGGGUUUGGUAUAUUCUUCACCUUUCUUGCUGUAAUUCUGUUUUUCGACAGAGGUUUGCUAGCUCUUGGAAAUAUCUUUUGGCUGACUGGUGUAGCCAUUUUACUAGGCUGGCGAUCAACAUUGCAACUCUUCACAGACCGGAAGAAUUAUAAGGGUUCAGUUUCCUUUCUUCUCGGGAUAUUCUUUAUAUUUGUCCGAUGGCCAGUAGUUGGUAUACUUGUGGAGAUCUAUGGCUGCAUUGUUCUUUUCAGUGGUUUCUGGCCCUCAAUAAAGGCAUUUCUUUACCAGAUUCCAGUAAUUGGUUGGAUUUUACAGUAUCCCGCACUGCUUAUUAAUCAGUUCACAAAGAGGUCUGCUUGACGGUUUUGAUCAGUCCUAAAGAUUUCGAGCAGUAGGAUCAUUGUGCACGGUUAGCUGUCUCUAGCCGGAGGGCUGUAUGAAGAUGGCAAAAGUGGCGGUGGUGACGGAAGUGGCGAUGGUGGAAUGAAGAGGAAAUGGAACACAGAAGCUUUCCCAAACACAGUUGAUCUUCAGCUUAAACAUCCUUUGCCUUCUGACUGGGAGCAAUGCCUUGAUCUUCAAUCGGGCAGAAUGUUCUAUGUGAACCGGAAGACAUCAAGAAAGAGUUGGAUGAGGCCAGAGGAGCAAAAGCUUGACCUUGAACUCAACAUAUCGACGGACCACGACAUCGGGCAUAAGGAAAACUCAUCGUCGUCGUCAUCAAGUAACAAUAUGAUAGCAUUGGCUUGUUCCAGCUGCCAUCUUCUUGUGAUAUUAUGUAAGACUUCACCCACUUGCCCUAACUGUAAGUAUGUCCAUUCUCUUGCAUCAUCUUCACCUAAAGCCAAAGCCCCUUCUAGUUGGGGUCUUUAAACUUUGAUGGGCACCCCUAGGGGUAAUUUCGGAAUUUAUGUAAAUUGUAUCCACCUAUCCUCUUUAGGCUUUUGGUGUUUUGUGUUGGCUACUAAUUUAAAAUUCCGCCCAUGCCCUUGUGGAACAUUUACUAUGUCACAACUAUUGGUAAUAGAUGGUAUUAAUUUCCAAUGAUUUUAUUA